rnacentral:rRNA from 1 species
GACGAACGCUGGCGGCGUGCUUAACACAUGCAAGUCGAACGAAGAGCGACGGAAGCUUGCUUCUAUCAAUCUUAGUGGCGAACGGGUGAGUAACGCGUAAUCAACCUGCCCUUCAGAGGGGGACAACAGUUGGAAACGACUGCUAAUACCGCAUACGAUCUAAUCUCGGCAUCGAGGAUAGAUGAAAGGUGGCCUCUACAUGUAAGCUAUCACUGAAGGAGGGGAUUGCGUCUGAUUAGCUAGUUGGAGGGGUAACGGCCCACCAAGGCGAUGAUCAGUAGCCGGUCUGAGAGGAUGAACGGCCACAUUGGGACUGAGACACGGCCCAGACUCCUACGGGAGGCAGCAGUGGGGAAUCUUCCGCAAUGGACGAAAGUCUGACGGAGCAACGCCGCGUGAGUGAUGACGGCCUUCGGGUUGUAAAGCUCUGUUAAAUCGGGGACGAAAAGCCUUUCUUGCGAAAUAGUG